CACAAAAUUCCCUCACAUCACUAAAAAAGCCCCAAUUUUUUUGCAUCGUCUCUCCUAAAACCUUCCAAAGAAAUCAGUCGCCGCCGUCUCUCUCUCAAAUGUUUUCUGUCGUUGUCUCCCUCUGCCGUCCCCUCUCAUUGACGAUUUUUGACCUCAAGUUUGUGUUAUCCCCAUCUAGCAGAUGGUUUUCAACCGUCGUCGUUUCCCCUCGAAUCGAUUUGUGCCAUCAUUAAAGGAACCAUACCCCGCUUGAUUUCUGACAGCCGUUAAAGGAAGCGCGUCCCCCUCUCGCAGAUGAUUUUCGGUCACCGUUAUCUCCCUCCAAAGUGUCGUUAAAGGUGUCGUUCUCGGAAUUGAUUUUUGACCGCUUUAACCUCUGAUUUCUGAUUUUGCCAACGAUUUUGAGAUAGUAAAAUUAAUAUCAUCUGGUAACUUUGAGGAAGCUUUGACUCUGUGUAAGUUGCUUCCACCUGAAGAUUCAAGCCUUUGAUCUGCAAAAGAGAGUUCAAUCCAUAUUAGGAAUAGUUGUUGAAAUGCCGCACAUUUGCAACACCGUCGAAAUCAAUUUUUUGGUUACCUCUGUGAAGUCGUCUUCCACUGUUUAUUGCUUCUUCUUGCUCCCUCCUUCGUUUGGUUCAUUCUCCAUUCAUUCUGGUACUAUGUCAUUAUUCUUGAGUGGUUUCAAGGAUACAGAUGUUUUGUUUCUCGAGUUUGACGACAAGUUAAGCAAUGUGGGAGGCUCGUUCCGGUGGGUGACAAUUCAGAUGAGACUCAACCUUCUCCGACUCCUAGGAGAUGUCAACAGUUUUGACUCUUUAAAUUAGAGAGGUACGUCCAUAAGAAUGGUAAGAUUUCGAUGACCAUAGCCUCAGGAGCGGAAAAACCAAUAUCUCCAUACGCUGUUUGCUUCAGCAGGCCUUUGGUAUGUGUGCGAGACAUACAUUUCUAGUUCACUACCUUAGGUGGGCUGAUGUUGGACAAGAAUAUGUCGAGGUUUUCAAGGGAGCUCUACAGGACAUGCAGUAAACAAUUCAUUUUCAUUUCAAACAUGUGUGGUGUUUUGUAAUGUGUAACAUUUUUUCGUACUUGAGUUCAAUGAUCAAGCAAUGAAUAGAUUUGUUGAGCAUCAAAUGCUCAUUUCUUUGAAGGAGUCCAGGGGCAACUAUCAUAGACAUUACAAAAAGUACAUCAACCCUGAACAGGCAUGUGCCAAUCCACCACACAUAUUGGUGGGACGUCUGCAAAAUUGACACUUUUUAUGCGAACACUACAUGAGCUAUGCAUUUUAGUGAGACUUAUAUAUUGUAAUGAGACACUAUUUUAUUUAACUUUUUGUACGUAUAAGUUUAACAAUUAUUUCCAUGCGGGAGCAAUUAUGGACGAACAAGGAUGCUAGACAAAAGCAGCCUAACAAUUAAAGUAGCAAGUCUAAGUCGUUUCUACAACGACAAUACGCGUUUGUUGAGAAACGAAAUGAGCCAGUCGACCAUGUGGAGUUAUUCAAGAAAACACAUGCUCGGUGUAGCUAAUUCAUUUUGCAGGCUGCUGAGGAUGGACGUAAUCAAAUGCUGGAACUCAUGUCUCAGCUCAUCAUAAAUGGUUUUCAACCACUCUCUAGGGACGAGAUAUUUGAGAAACUUUUGGGUAGACGUAUCAGGCUACUCAAAAGGUCUUGGUUGGGGACCCAAGCCCAAGUCCCGCAAGAAUUGUGCUAGCAGUUAUUCGACCUCAUUUUCAUAAGCUGAGAGGUCGAAGAAGCUAAAGUCCUGAUUGAGCAGCAAAGAGUCGAGCUUGAAGAAACUAAAUAUAUGAUUGAAGAACAGAGAAGGACCUCAGAGCUGCUAACACAGCAAAUGGAAGAAAUGAAGAAGAUGGUAGAAGAAAUGAGUCGAGCAUAGAGGGGACAUUAGCCCUUGCGGUGUGGACUUGUUGUAAUAUGGCGUACGCGGCCAUUAGGAGACAAACGUAUUUUUUCAUUUCUAUGUAAUUUUUUUAUACAUUAUUAGAUAGUUUAACAUUUAAUUAUAUUAUAUUUAUUUUGGAUUUGAUAUUUUAUAUAGUUAUUUACUAAUUUAUUGCA